CGCGGGGUAGAGCAGCCUGGUAGCUCGCAAGGUUCAUAACCUUGAGGUCGUGUGUUCAAAUCACACUCCCGCAACCA
rnacentral:tRNA from 1 species